AACCGUUGGCCCCGUUCCGGGGCGCAGUCAGACUUAAGCCAGGCAACGGGGGCUUAAG
ncrna:Prochlorococcus marinus str. MIT 9313 Glutamine-II riboswitch (downstream peptide RNA)